rnacentral:rRNA from 1 species
UACGUAGGGUGCAAGCGUUGUCCGGAAUUACUGGGCGUAAAGAGCUCGUAGGUGGUUUGUCGCGUUGUUCGUGAAAACUCACAACUCAAUUGUGGGCGUGCGGGCGAUACGGGCAGACUGGAGUACUGCAGGGGAGACUGGAAUUCCUGGUGUAGCGGUGGAAUGCGCAGAUAUCAGGAGGAACACCGGUGGCGAGGGCAGCUCGCUGGGACGGUACUGACGCUGAGGCGCGAAAGCGUGGGGAGCAAACAGG